rnacentral:rRNA from 1 species
CACAAAUUUCUUCCUGGGAAGAAGUCUUUUUACACGGUGGGCCUGGCGGCCACCUGUUGGGCUAUAUGGUUGGCGCGCAAUCGGGCCACUUUUGAAAAAAAACAAAUCAAGACUCCUUUUGAGAUUGUGUUUUCUCUGUGCUCCUUUCUGUUAUACUGGACAGGUCUACAGCAAGGGGAUGCCGCCAGGGAGCUGCGUACGGGUGUAGAGAUGAUCAGGGCUAGCACAAUGCAGCUGAUGAAGAUGUGCGACGCCACCAAGCAAACAAUCUAG